rnacentral:lncRNA from 1 species
AGUGGCCAGUUGGAGGACAAAACAACAAUACACUAUAAUAAUCAAAACACGAAAGAAAAGAUUACAAACAUCGAUGAUUCAUAAGCUUUCCGUCAUUUAGUGGUAAAGCACAAUGCUGUCCUUGAUUUAAUUAUAUUCACUAAUUAAUCAUCGUAUAUACAACUUUAUCAAUGAUAAAUCCGAAAAUGGAAAUGCAGGCAUAUACAGCAAAACAAACGGGUUUAAAAUCACUCAUAGAAAUAUAUCAGUCUAUGAGGUCAACUGAUUGAUAAGGUACGAGGAUUGUAGAUUUCCACGCAAUUAUUAUACCUAAUACAUAGUAUUUGAUUCUGUAAACCACAAUUUAGAUAUCAAUGACAUUAUUGUAUGUUGGUUCCUUUUUCUCUCCAAAAAAGUACUCCAAACAACACAGUUAAAACGAAAACUUAAAGAUACAAAUGGAAAAUCAUUGAAACCAACUAAACAAAAAGAGUUAACCUUACGAUUUAAAAAAAAAAAAAACUUGGAUUCGAAGCUAGAGUAGGUUUAGUUAUUUCUAAUCAAUCCAAAAAUCAAGCUAAAAAUAUUAUUUCAUAGUGCUAGAAAAAUAUUAUAAUCAAUCCACCAAAUACUAAAAUCAAGAAGAAGAAAAAUUACAAUUUAGGGCUACCAGUAACAGCGUAGGAUUUGCUACGAGGAUACAAAAGAUCAGAGACUUUCUUAGUCUUCUUCAUCUUCGGAUUCACAGAGCCUUCCUCUGUUUCUUCCUCUUCCUCUAUCUUCGCCAUCCCAACACUCGAGCUCUUAGGUAACCCUCCUUGCUUCUGUUGCCUCUGUUGUUGCAGCUUCUCUUGUAACAACAUGUCUAUCUCAUUCUUGUGCCCUAAACUCCUAACUGACGCAGCUCUCACUAGCUCGCUGUAAUCUUCAUCUAUCCCGAAAUCGGUGGCUCUCCGGGAUGAAGCAGAGGAGGAGAAGGCGGCGGAGGAGGAGCUCCGGCUUCUAGGAA